GCCUGGAUAGCUUAGUUGGUUAGAACAUGGUGCUGAUAACACAAAGUUUGCGGGUUCGAUCCCUGUAAGGGACA